GUUAGGAUUCGUAGACAUUGGAUUAAAUUGGAAUGAUACAAAGAAAAUUAGCAUGACCCUUCUGCAAUUACGACACAUACAAAUCGAAAAAUGAUCUAAAUCCUG